CGGAGCCCCACCCCACAGCCCCAGCCCCCUCGCCACCUGGGGAGGCUGAGACAGAAGCAGCUGGGCCCCCCAAAGUGCCUGAGCCCAGGGCACGGAGGAGCACAAAUGCCCAGCAGGGACAAUGUCACAGCGUCUCAGCGGCCAGGCAGCAGGACGCAGAGACCUCUGGGAGGUUCCCGGGGCCAGCCCUGGCCCUCCUCCUCCAGGGGCCAGCCGUGGGAUGCAGACCACACUCUCCCUCCAGGGCCCAUCUCUGGGGCUGAGGCGGGCGGGGCCGGUGCCCAGCUGCAAGACCAUGGGAUAGGGAAGGCAGGUGCUUGGGGCCACGCAGCCCUGCACUGGGGGCCCCUCCACCCCAGGCGGCUCACGAGGUGUCAUCUGGAGCUGUCCCCAAGCCGGGAUCUGCAGGUUGACCUCCCCCACCCGGGGCUAUCUCCAGACCCUCUUUCCUCCCUGGGGAGAUGGGGCAGUCCCCCGCAGGGCCAGCUGAAACCACCCCCAUGCUGCUGCCGCCUGAGCGACGUGUGUGGGGAAGAACUUGGAGUGCCACCCCCAGAAUGUGGCGUCCACCUCACCAGACCGCACGGGUGAGCCCUGGACUGCAAGGUGCAUAUAACACAAGGUUUGGACACACCUGGAGAGCUCGGGCCAGGCAGGGCCACACCUGUGAGCCUGAGCUCAUCCAACACCGCCCGGAGCUCGGGGACCUUCCCCAUCCCAGCACCUCCUCACCGCUGUGCCCGUCUGGCCAGUCCCUCCAAGCACCCCUCGGAUGAAGUUGCGCCCCACACUGCAGUGGGGCUCACUCUCCACAGCGCCUGCUGCGUUGCACGGGGUGUGACAGGAAGGACCCUGCUGGGGCUGGCGGGGCCGUACCCAGAGCCUCCCUGUGCGGUUUCUCCUCCUCCUCCUCCUCUCCAUAAGCACCGGGAACAAAACAGAAAAAAGUCUUUGUAUAGUAAUAAAGUCUGCAGUUCACGCACCCAU
rnacentral:lncRNA from 1 species